GAUGAAGAACGCAGCGAAAUGCGAUAAGUAAUGUGAAUUGCAGAAUUCAGUGAGUCAUCGAAUCUUUGAACGCACAUUGCGCCCUGUGGUAUUCCGCAGGGCAUGCCUGUUCGAGCGUCAUUUCAACCCUCAAGCCCCGCUUGGUGUUGGGCCCCGCCCGCUGUGGCCGGCCCUAAAGACAGUGGCGGCGCCGCCUGGCCCUCAGCGUAGUACAUCUCUCGCUCCAGGGUCCGGUGGCCGCCUGCCAGAACCCCCCAACUCUGUGGUUGACCUCGGAUCAGGUAGGGAUACCCGCUGAACUUAAGCAUAUCAAUAAGCGGAGGA
rnacentral:misc_RNA from 1 species